rnacentral:rRNA from 1 species
UAAGAGGGCAAACCGUUAGUUUACUAACGGGGUUGUAGGACUGCAACAUAGACUUAAACAAACUAAUAGAAUAACCUGGAAAGGUUGGCCAUAGAGGGUGAUAGCCCCGUAUAUGAAAGUGCGUUUAUACUUAGCAGUAUCCUGAGUAGGGCGGGACACGUGAAAUCCUGUCUGAAGCUGGGGAGACCACUCUCCAACCCUAAAUACUACUACUAGACCGAUAGUGCCCAAGUACCGUGAGGGAAAGGUGAAAAGAACUGAGGUGAUCAGAGUGAAA